UGGGGAAUUUUGGACAAUGGGCGCAAGCCUGAUCCAGCCAUGCCGCGUGCGGGAAGAAGGCCUUCGGGUUGUAAACCGCUUUUGUCAGGGAAGAAAUCUUCUGAGUUAAUACCCCGGGAGGAUGACGGUACCUGAAGAAUAAGCACCGGCUAACUACGUGCCAGCAGCCGCGGUAAUACGUAGGGUGCAAGCGUUAAUCGGAAUUACUGGGCGUAAAGCGUGCGCAGGCGGUUUUUGUAAGACAAGAGGUGAAAUCCCCCGGGCUCAACCUGGGAACUGCCUUUGUGACUGCAAGGCUUGAGUGCGGCAGAGGGGGAUGGAAUUCCGCGUGUAGCAGUGAAAUGCGUAGAUAUGCGGAGGAACACCGAUGGCGAAGGCAAUCCCCUGGGCCUGCACUGACGCUCAUGCACGAAAGCGUGGGGAGCAAAACAGGAUUAGAUACCCCUGGGUAGUCCACGCCCUAAAACGAUGUCAACUGGUUGUUGGGAAGGUUCCUUCUCAGUAACGUAGCUAACGCGUGAAGUUGACCGCCUGGGGAGUACGCCGCAAGGUUGAAACUCAAAUGAAUUGACGGGG
rnacentral:rRNA from 1 species